rnacentral:rRNA from 1 species
CCUACGGGAGGCAGCAGUGAGGAAUAUUGGUCAAUGGUCGGGAGACUGAACCAGCCAAGCCGCGUGAGGGAUGAAGGUACAGAGUAUCGUAAACCUCUUUUGUCAGGGAACAAAGGCGGGGACGUGUCCCCGGAUGAGUGUACCUGAAGAAAAAGCAUCGGCUAACUCCGUGCCAGCAGCCGCGGUAAUACGGAGGAUGCGAGCGUUAUCCGGAUUUAUUGGGGUUAACGGGGGCGCAGGCGGUCUGUUAAGUCAGCGGUCAAAGCCCGGGGCUCAACCCCGGACCGCCGUUGAAACUGGCAGUCGCGAGUAGGAGAGAAGUAGGCGGAAUGCGCGGUGUAGCGGUGAAAUGCAUAGAUAUCGCGCAGAACUCCGAUUGCGAAGGCAGCAUGCCGGCUCCACACUGACGCUGAGGCACGAAAGCGUGGGUAUCGAACAGGAUUAGAUACCCCAGUAGUC